CAGAAGUCUUGCUCAAUGCUCCUGGCUGAAUAAACCAUUUCCUUCUUUAACUCAGUGUCUGAGGAGUUUUGUCUGCGGCUCGUCCUGCUACAUUUCUUGGUUCCCUGACCGGGAAGCGAGGUGAUUGGCAGAUGGUCGAGGCAGCUCCUUAGGCGGCUAAAGCCUGCCCUGUGGAACAUCCCUGCAGGGGACUCUGACCAGCCUGAGCGACGUGGAUCCUGAGAGCGCUUCUGGGUAGGCAUUUGCCCCAGUGGGAUGCCUCACCAGAGCAGUGUGUGGAAGGCCCCCAUGGAGUCUCAACACGGUGGCUGAACACCGGGAAGGAACUGGUAUUUGGAGUCCGGACAUCUGAAACUUGGUCAGUGAGAGAGCAUAUGCCCUGGUAGAUUCCUGAGAAAAGGAACAGGAGGAUGAGAGGUUCAAUGUUUUACACAUUGCUGGUCUGAUAGCUCAGCUUCAUUCACAGAGAAAGACACUGAAGGAAUUAAAUCAGCUUGUCCAGCAGCAAGCUUCAGAGCCAAAUAUAAGCACACCUCAUAAUUCAGAGACCUCGUGAUGGGUCCUCAGAAGACACACCCAGCAGCUGCCAAAUGAACAGCAGAUGACGGAAAGGGGCCCUUGGCCUGAUCUCUCAUGGGAGACAGUGACCUUUCCUGAGUUGAAGAUGGUGAAAUGCCAGAAGGAGCUGAUGAGGCUGUCCCACACACUGACACUGCUAUGAUAUCAUGAUUGAAUUUCACUUUUUUCUCCCACCAUAAUGUAAUUUCUGGGCAGUGAUUGGGGUGUUGAUUCAUAAACACCCCUUACUGUUCUGCAUUGGAUUAAUCAUGAUGUACUGUCUUUUUCUCACUAUUUACAAAGUACAGCACCAUGAGAAUCCCUGAAUUUUAGAAUAAGUUUCUCUCCACUGGAAUAUAACACAUAUUUUGGGUUCUUUGCCUGGACUGGUCAUUUCUUUCUUUUACUAAUUGUUGUGAAAGAAUGACAGAGAUGUACAACAUGGUUUUUGAAUGGAUGCUGAGUUUAACUCUCCCGCUUACCAGAGAUAAAGUUGGCCAUACACACACGUCUCUUAUAUAAGAGUUUAUUCAUUGGCAGACACUUUGAUGAUGACAUUGAGUUAGAUGAAAUACUGGUUCCAGUUUGUAGCACUUUAUGAAUUUUCAUGUAAAGUGAUCAUUCAAUUUAAGGUUUCUGCACACAUCUUACAAAGCAUAUCUGUUUAUCAGAGCUCAUUUACUUAAGAGGAUUAAAAUGAAAUCUCUCCUCAUGAGCCAAGGGUGAAAUAGCUAGUGUCCGCUCCUAAAUAUGUGAACUAAUAUGUUUUUCCAUGGGCAAGCAAGAUUUUGUUUUUCUCCUAUUUUUCUUCUUCAGAAGGAAAUGAUUAAAAUAUUAAUAACACAAAAAUAAAUAUACAUUAUAAAACUCAAAAAAAUAAGGAUUUUUAUUGGAGUAAAGUUUUUAGUGGAGUAAAUUAUACAAUAUUAAAAAAG
rnacentral:lncRNA from 1 species